rnacentral:tRNA from 1 species
GCCCGAGUAGCUCAGACGGCAGAGCAGCUCACUCGUAAUGAGCAGGUCUGGGGUUCGAGUCCCCACUCGGGCUCAA